GACGAACGCUGGCGGCGUGCUUAACACCUGCAAGUCGAACGGAAAGGCCCUGCUUUUGUGGGGUGCUCGAGUGGCGAACGGGUGCGUAACACGUGAGUAACCUGCCCUUGACUUUGGGAUAACUUCAGGAAACUGGGGCUAAUACCGGAUAGGAGCUCCUGCUGCAUGGUGGGGGUUGGAAAGUUUCGGCGGUUGGGGAUGGACUCGCGGCUUAUCAGCUUGUUGGUGGGGUAGUGGCUUACCAAGGCUUUGACGGGUAGCCGGCCUGAGAGGGUGACCGGCCACAUUGGGACUGAGAUACGGCCCAGACUCCUACGUGAGGCAGCAGUGGGGAAUAUUGCACAAUGGGCGGAAGCCUGAUGCAGCAACGCCGCGUGCGGGAUGACGGCCUUCGGGUUGUAAACCGCUUUCGCCUGUGACGAAGCGUGAGUGACGGUAAUGGGUAAAGAAGCACCGGCUAACUACGUG
rnacentral:rRNA from 1 species